UACGGGGGGGCGAGCGUUAUUCGGAAUUAUUGGGCGUAAAGGGCGCGUAGGCGGCUUCGCAAGUCAAAGGUGAAAUCCCUCGGCUCAACCGAGGAACUGCCCUUGAAACUGCAUGGCUUGAGGCCGGGAGGGGCCAGUGGAAUUCCCAGUGUAGCGGUGAAAUGCGUAGAUAUUGGGAGGAACACCAGUGGCGAAGGCGGCUGGCUGGACCGGUUCUGACGCUGAUGCGCGAAAGCGUGGGGAGCAAACAGG
rnacentral:misc_RNA from 1 species